rnacentral:lncRNA from 1 species
AGAACCGAGCCAUCUCGCCAGCCCAAUAUAUAUUUUUAAUAAUAAAAUUCUGGAUGUGGCAGCAAGCAUCUGUAACCCCAGCACUCCUGUGGCAAAAUAAGAGGUGAAGCCAGGAGAAUAUUCGGGAAGCCAAAAAGUUCAUGGAACAGAGAAACCUUGCCUCAGACCUAUGUGGAAGGAGGGAACCAAUCCUGACAAGCUGUGCCCUGACCCCCACGUGUGCCCUGUGACACAAGAGAUGCACACAUCAUGCAUGGGCACACACACAUCCACCACACAUGCUAAAAAUUAGGAAGUGAGAAAGAUAUAGGAGCCAAAGAGAAUAAGGCGAGACUUGUUUCCUAGAAAUCCCAGAAGUCUUUCAAGAGGAGCAGGUGGCCGGUAGUGUCAGAUUCCAAAGAAAGGCAGAGUGACAGGAGAAGAGAGCUUGGGUGGCUGUUCAGGAAGCAGCUUCCAGAGAGUCCCAGGGCAGUGCCAGGGUGCUGGGGUUUAAUCAGGAAUAAGGACGAGCAGGAUUUAAGCUGAGUAGAUGGGAGUUAAAGGAACGGAAUAGGAAGUGCAGGCAGCGGGGGUUCCAGCUUCCAAGGCAGCGAUUUGGCAACAGAAUGAAUGAGCCAGGAAGUGGGUCAGAUAGCACGGUUUAUUUUGUUUUUUAAGAUAAGGCAACCCUGAGCACGUGGAGCAGGGGUGUUAAAGGAUGUCCUUGGUUUGCUCUCUGUUUCCUUUUGGCCUCUCUGGCACUGUUUUCUUAUUUCCAGCUCUCUUUCUGGAACUCAGGAGGGUGGCGAGUAAAUGCUCAGACACUAUGAGAUGGACUCGCAGGUGCGCAGGUGCGGGGCUCAUUGGCUCCUUCCUCCCCUUCACAGACAGAUGCAUGGAGGCAGCUUGGAGCAGAGUUUGCAGUAGCCCCCUCCUCUCCCAUCCCCUCCAUCUUGGGCUUUCAUUGAUUGGCCUGACUGUCAGCCUCCAGAGGUCUCAGCUCUCAAGAUAAAGUGGGAGGUCCGUAAGGACUGGGAAACAAGCCAUGCUUAGCCUGGGCUCGAGCCUUUGCUUGUGCUUCAGGGUCUGCGAUUUAUCCUAGAAAAACAAUGUUUGAAGCCAGAAGUGCCCUAGAGCAGUGAUUCCCAACCUUCCCAAAGACCCUUUCAUACACUUCCUCCUGUCAUGGUGACCUCCAACCAUAAAAUGAUUUGCGUUGCUACUUCCUAACUGUAAUUUUGCUACUGUUAUGAAUUGUAACACACAUAUUUUUGGAGAUAGAGGUUUUGUCAAAGGAGUCGAGACCCACAGGCUGAGAACCAUUUCUCGCGAGGCUCAUCCUAUCCCGGGAUGACUUUCUCAUCUCUGGGCUGGGCCCUUGCUGUUCUCUAAGAACUUGGUACAAUGUCUGAUGCUGCACAUACUUGUAGCCCAACACUGAGUGUUGAAACUUUGGAACAGGGAUUUGAAACAGAUUAAGUCAGCCAAUAGACACAUACACACACACACACACACACACACACACACACACACGCACGCACGCACGCGCAGGCACACACAGACUUUCCUGGGUAUGGGAAAAGGUAAUUAGUCACCCCCCUGAUCUGAGGCUCCCAAGUCACACUUGGAAGAAGGGACGUCAGGGUCUGGCUGCUGCUUUCUUCCUGGGAUGCUUUUCAGGGGCUGCAGGCAGAUUACCUCUGGGGUCUGUGGACAGAAACAGAAAGCUGGACAGACUCCCUAAGUCUGAAGAGAUGAGCCUUUAUAAAAGGACUGGAAACUAAGGAAGUUGGAAGAGCUCAUCCUUUCUGGUCAUGGAGCGUGGAGAGCAGGAGGGUGUGGUUGGUGGGUUCAGGCUUGUGUUUUGUUUUGUUUUGUUUUGUUGUUUUUGGAGAGUGGGAGAGAGGAGCAGAGAGGCCUUCUGCAAAGUUGCAAGGGUGGGGCUGUCAUAGGCAGGCCCAACUGAGCUCUAAGAUAGUAUCUGAACGGGGCAAGACUGUAGAAUGUCAGAUGGUUGCUGUGUGUCAUGGGGAUGGUGACCUUGCCCAAGGGCAGUACCAGGGCAGAGGUUUAGGCUUGUGCAAGGGGCCCGUGCUGGGCCCCAUGUCUCUGAGAUUACAGUCUUAGCUGCCAAGAGCAACUCUGUGGGGGUGGAAUGAAACAAAGCAAAGGCCCUUUUGUGGUGCUAGGUUCCUAAUAAUAGCCAUGGCUGGGCUCCAGGAGAUGCCGCCAUAGUCUGGCCCCAGUCUUGUUCUCGGAGGUGUUCCUGUGCCUUGUGCCACGGCACUGAUUGCUAGAACUGUAGCUUGUUAGCCCCACCUCAGCCUCUGUUACCUGUGUUUGCCUGGCUCUGCUGUGAGAGAAGGCAGAGAGCUGGGGAAGAGUGGGCGCAAAGUCAGCACAAGGGUGUUAGGGAGGGAGACAAAGGGCCCAAGCCUGGAAAACCAAUAUCUCCAGUCCCAACUGGAACAGUGAUGUUCCGGGGAGGAGAAAAGGUGGAACAGAGGAGCCAGGACUGGCUAGACCUCGAAACCGAGGGCGCCAGGUGUGGAAAGACUUGUGGGACGUAGUGGAAGGAAGUGUAUCGAGGAAGAGAAGUGGGUUCAAGAAACUUGGGGUGGGGUGAGGAACCGAUGGGGGUGGAGUAGAUAAGGCGAAAUGACAGCGUCUCCUCAGCCACACAACAGAGGGGGUGGCACAGCUCUUGGGAAAACUUGGGAAGGGCUCUUGAAGGCCAUUCCCGUGAGAUAACAAUGCACUUCAAAUCCUUUCCUAAUCUCCCCUCCUAUUAUUAGCCCUGAGUCCUCUCCACCAAGAGGCCACAGGCCCCUAGGCUGUGUCCUUUCCCCCAUGCCCUUGGCUAGAAUUAGAUGGUCCUGUCUGCGAGAUCAUCUGCUAAGCAAGGUCGUUCUGGCUUCUGGGUGUUGUUACUAGAGAAGCCUGUGGAAAGAUGGUGGGAAGGGGUUGGAAGGUCACUGAACAACCCCCAGACACACACUGUGGUUGUGGAACACCCCCUGAUACGAAGAGGGUUAGAAGCCAAGGCCUGAGUUCUCCUGUCAAUAAAUAAACACAUCUUCAACGUGGUCACAGUUUUGAGUAGCAGCAUAAUUGUAGAAACAGAGAAGCAGAAGCAGCCAUGCUGGAGGGUGGGGCAGAGGGGAGGGCUCCUGGCAGGUGAGCUUGCCGAGGGGUCUUCAGAGG